CCGAGUUCUUACCAACUCCCAAACCCCUGUGAACCUAUACCUUUACUGUUGCUUCGGCGGGUUAACGCCCCGGAAGGCCCUGAAAAGCCGCCGGAACCAGGCGCCCGCCGGGGGACCCAAACUCUUGUAUUUCUCCUGAUAGCAUGUCUGAGUGUCACACAAACAAAUGAAUCA
rnacentral:misc_RNA from 1 species